ACGAACGCUGGCGGCGUGCUUAACACAUGCAAGUCGAACGGUGAAGGGACCGGUUUUUGCUGGGUCUGGAUGAGUGGCGAACGGGUGAGUAACACGUGAGUAACCUGCCCCCUUCUUAUGGAUAACCGCAUGAAAGUGUGGCUAAUACGGGAUAUUCUGCGCCUGCUGCAUGGUGGGUGUGGGAAAGAUAUUGUUUCGGUGGGGGAUGGGCUCGCGGCCUAUCAGCUUGUUGGUGGGGUGAUGGCCUACCAAGGCGGUGACGGGUAGCCGGCCUGGGAGGGUGGACGGUCACACUGGGACUGAGACACGGACCAGACUCCUACGGGAGGCAGCAGUGGGGAAUAUUGCACAAUGGGCGCAAGCCUGAUGCAGCGACGCCGCGUGAGGGAUGGAGGCCUUCGGGUUGUAAACCUCUUUCGCCAGUGAAGCAGGCCUGUCCCUUUUGUGGGUGGGUUGACGGUAGCUGGAUAAGAAGCGCCGGCUAACUACGUG
rnacentral:rRNA from 1 species